AUGUCGGACGAGGCGACCUAUUGAAGAUGGAGUGCUUGCACAAAGUUGGAUUUAGUCUUCGCCUAGUGGCGCACGGGUGAGUAACACGUGGGUGAUCUACCUUUAAGAUCGGAAUAACUACUGGAAACGGUAGCUAAUACCGGAUAACACAUUAAUUCGUUUUAAUGUUGAAAGGAGCUUUCAAGCUUCGCUUUUAGAUGAGCCUGCGACGUAUUAGCUUGUUGGUGGGGUAAUGGCCUACCAAGGCAACGAUGCGUAGCCGGACCGAGAGGUUGAACGGCCACAUUGGGACUGAGACACGGCCCAAACUCCUACGGGAGACAGCAGUUAGGAAUAUUCGUCAAUGGGGGAAACCCUGAACGAGCAAUGCCGCGUGAGUGAUGAAGGCCCUAUGGGUUGUAAAACUCUGUUAUAUGGGAAGAACGACUAGAGUAGGAAAUGACUUUAGUGUGACGGUACCAUGUCAGAAAGCUCCGGCUAACUACGUGCCAGCAGCCGCGGUAAUACGUAGGGAGCGAGCGUUAUCCGGAUUUAUUGGGCGUAAAGCGUGCGUAGGCGGCUUAUUAAGUAAAGAAUUAAAGCCCGGGGCUUAACUCCGGUUCGUUCUUUAAACUGGUAGGCUUGAGUGUGGUAGAGGUAAAUGGAAUUUCUAGUGUAGCGGUAAAAUGC
rnacentral:rRNA from 1 species